GGGGGUGCCCAGGUUUCGACGGGAAUAGGAAGCGAAGGUGGCAUGCCGGGGACGCCAGUUGGCCUCGUUAAAAAACUGGCACACAUACAAACGCCGACAACGACGUUCGUUACGCACUGGCGGCUUAAUUGCCGUCACGUCUUUUGCCUGAGUUCCUGCGUAGGGUAGAAGACGUCAAUUUAGCGGGAUAGUUCUCGGAAGGCCUGUGGUCCGGGAGCGAAACUAAAGCAGGCUCACCCGAAGGGAAUCCUGUUCGUGGGAGUCUUGAGGGUUAAAGCAAAACACGAACUACGCAUGUAGAAGCCUUACGUGGAUGAUUUUCGGACGCGGGUUCGAUUCCCGCCACCUCCACCA
rnacentral:tmRNA from 1 species